AAAAAAAAAAACAACUCACCUUCGGUAUAGGCAUCAUGUCUAAAACGAUUCUACUACGAAGACCUACCUCUGUGAGAGCAGCUGUUGUGUGAAGGUAUUGUCAUGGAGUGAAUGUUUGUGUCACCCCGCCCUCCCCAAUUUCUGUGUGGAAACCCAGCCCCCAGGGUGAUGGUGUUAGGAGCUCGGGCCUUUGGGGUGGUUAGGUCAUGAAGGUGGAACCCUCAUGAAUGGCAUCGGUGCUUUAGAAAAGAGACCCCAGAGAGCUCUCUGGCCCCUUCCACCACGAGGGGACACAGCGAGAAGACCGCGUCUGCGCCUCAGAGGAGAGCUCUCAUCAGAACCCGAUCAUGCCGGCUCCUUGAUCUUGGACUUCCAGCCUCCAGAAUGGUGAUGGAUAGAUAAACCGUGGGCCCUGCAGACAAUGGGAUGUCGUUCAGCACUAACAAGAAGUGAGCUCUCAAGCCACGGCAACCCAUGGAGGAAGCUGAGAUGCGUGUCACUAAGUGAAAGAAGCCGGUCCGAAAAGGCCACGUGCUGUGACUCCUGGAAGAGGCAGAACUAUGGAGACAGUAAAUGACGAUGUGUGGCUGCCAGGCGAUCCAGGGUGGGGAAGGCGGAGCGGCGCGUGGGUGAGGCACAGAGAAAUUUGAGGGCGUUGACACCGUUCUCUACCCCGUAAUGGUGGGUACAUGACAUGCGUUCGUCCAAACCCGCAGAAUGAGUGUCCAAGACCAAGAGUGAGCCUUAAUGUAAGGUGUGCAAUGUAUCGAUAUUGGUUCCUUCACUGUAACAGACGUACCAACUAAUGCAAGAUGCUGUUAGCAGGAGAGACCUGUGAUGACAGGAGGGCGUACCUGAGCUCUGUACCAGCUGCUCAACUUUUCUGUAGAUCUAAAGCUGUAGAAAGAAUCUAUUUAUUAAAAAAAACCUUCCAA